AUAAUCUAAUAAUGAUCAGGCUUAGCUUAUAAAAUGAACCCAACAAGUAGGUUUCCUAAUUGGUAGCACAUUUCCUCCGCCUCUCCGUCUUCUCUGCCUCCGAUAAUGACUCCAUUACUGCUUCGUAACGCUUAGCUUCGUCUUCUGCCGCAAUGGGUGCAGGUGUGUGAUCCGGUGGAGGUGCGCGAGUUUAGAAAAACUCCAACUAGGGUUUGAACCUUGCAUCCUUGCUUUGUAAUUCCCGACAUAUAGAUGAAGCAUAAGUGGAGAAAAACAAGUUGCUCCUAGCCUCCUUGUCUUGGAACUCGUAGUCAGGUGCAGACACUUUGUUGAAGAUUUGGUUUCGUGACCCUUUCUUUUUGCUGGUGUCCCUUUUGUUGGCUGAUGUAGCUUAGGCCAAUUAGCAUUCUCACAGUUAUUCUAUCUGUAUGAUAGCUGCAAACGUUAUUGUAAAUAUAAUAGAUGUGAGACUCUAUGUCUUUUCCUUUCCUUAUGAAUGGUUCUUGUUGUUUAAAAUUGUUUAAAAUUCUCCUUGGUCUUACUCUUAAGUUUGGAAUUUGCAUCUUAUCUAUGUUAAGAAUCCUCUUUGCUCUGCUUGGUAGCUGGUUGAAGUUGUUGAAUUGAAGCAUGCCUUCUGAAUCUAUUGCUGUAUUUGUGAUAAAAUCUGCCAACUGAUUUGCUUCUCUGAAUAUAUGAAUUAUGUGAAUGUUUAGCUGCUGCAUCAGUUCUCUUAUUUCCUCUAUUUUGUCAACCAGUAUCCAAGGAACCCUCCAUUCCUUUUGGAUCAUUUUUGUGAGACUGAUUCUGUCUCUAACUUAACAUUAUGGACCUCUUGAUGAAUAUAGUAUCUGAGUGCCUGUAGAAUAGCUAAGGACUCUGCUUCCAUGUUGGUAGUAAUACCUAGGUUUUGUGCUUCAGCAUAUAUUAAAUCUCCUUCUCUAUUCCUAACACAAAAGCCAUAGGAACUCAUACCUGGGUUACCCUUGCUUGCACCAUCUGUAUUGCAUGUCACCCAAUCCUCUUCCGAAUUAUUCCAUCUCACGACAAUGCAGUGAAGUCUAGAUGUGUAUGUUUGUAGUGUAUCUAUCAUACCAGUCCAACUCAAAGAAAUGUCUUUCAUCCAUGGGAAACAUACUUUAAUUAGAUGAAACACAUUUAUUAUGCAUUGUUGUUUCAUCUUGUUAAGUGUGAUGUCUUUCCCAUGUCUUCUAGAGUUUCUCCUUUUUCAUAGCUCCCAUAUCAACAUUGCCGGAAUAACUCUGGUGAUCAGCCUCAUUUUGGAAUUUCCUUGAUAAUUCCACCACUUGUAUAUACGUUGCUUCAAAUUUAGUCCAUUUACAUUUAUACUUGUACAUGAAGCAAACUGUCUCUAUGGAGGCUAUUGGUAAUAAAUGAUCCAUUGUUUUCAUUUCCCCUUCUUCGCAACAUAGCAUUUUGAGACAAUUUAAAUUCCCAUCCUCUUCAGAUUGUCAUCAGUAGCUACUCUUCUCCUCCACACCAAGAAAAA